rnacentral:lncRNA from 1 species
GAGGGGUAUAACAUGAUUGUGAUACAUUGAUGUUGUGUUGCAUUUACUUAUGUCAUUGCAUUGUAUUGUUUGGGCCUCGGCUCAGAUAAUAUAACAUGUUUGAUCAUAUCUUAACGGGGAAACCCGUAAAUCCACGGACUUGAUCCGUGAGGGUCCGACACUCGGGUGGAGUGUCAUGAGAGUCAUUGGUGUCCACUCGAGGCACGUUCCUUGUCCGGGGCCUUACCAAAAUUAGUUCUGGGCAGGACGCGAAGACACGUGUGAUAGGGCUAGCUACCCUCGACCGUGUAGCUGCAUGACGAUGCGGAAAGUGUGUUAUCCGGGCCAUCGGCUUUUUAGACUUUGUGUUUAGAGUCAAUGGGCGCAAGAAGGGAUGUGUUAUGGACUUUGUAUCGAGAUAGGAACCAAUGGCUAGAGGCAGUCCUCGAUGAUCGAUAAAGAUCUAACCACUCGUGAAGAGUGGAUGCUUGUUUACAUGAUUGCUUUAUUUUUGCAUUGCAUAUUUCUUCAUAUAAUUGAUCCUUGUUGCUUAAUGUUUGAUGUAAAAUGGGGGGAUAAAUAAUUGUUAGGAAACCCGACUCACUGAGCAAAAGAGU